AAAGGAGUUGCAAGAGUGUUG
rnacentral:snRNA from 1 species